rnacentral:lncRNA from 1 species
GCAGAAGACAGCCUUUAUCUCUUCCAGUGAUCCACAGACUUGAUGAAAUCAGUUCGGGCCUCAGAGAGAAGAUGAAUUGUAAGCAAAAUUCAAAAAUCACGAUUCUGGGGAAAAAGACCCCCAAAUCCAGAGCCCUGUAGUACCAGCCCUGCUAGUUCAACUGAAGGCUGCAGCAUGCCCUGAUCUAAACGGGAAAACACAACAAGGAAAAUAUCAGAAGCACAAGCCAGAGCUGUUGUCCUCCUUACUCAUCCACUCAUCCAUCAAGAUAAGUCAGGUAGGUCAAGAUGCUGUCUUCUCUCCUCAGCUGCUUCCUUGCAGCUGUGGGGUACUGCCAGCCUCUCAGGGGACCCUGGGCUUCUGGUUGUGUUCAAGGGUGGAAAGAGCAAAAUAAGUAUGGAUGUCUAAUUAAAC